rnacentral:tRNA from 2 species
GACGAGGUGGCCGAGUGGUUAAGGCGAUGGACUGCUAAUCCAUUGUGUUUUGCAUGCGUGGGUUCGAAUCCCAUCCUCGUCG